AACUUCCCCUGCACUCUAAUUAAUUGGCAGCUUCCAAAUGUUUGGAGCCAAACAUCAACAUAAGAAAUACUGCUAAUUAAUUUAGUGUAGAAGUAAUGAAGGAAGAGGGCAAUUUCAUUAAACUAUGACAACUGUACAGAGAAGUUAUGUAGAAAAAUGAAAAAUCACAAGCUCAAUCACAUGGAAAAAGCAGAAGAAGCCCGCCAAAGAGAAGCCAGUGAUGGAGAGGAAGUACAGAGGAGUGGGGAAAAUAUGGUGCAAAGAUCAGGGAUUCGAAAAGGCAAUGCAUCCUGAUUUGGCUUGGAAUAUUUAACUCUUCGGAAGCAACCAUUCUCAACUUGGCUUUGAUUUGGCUAAUGACCAAGCUACCUCCACUAUGAGAGGCUCUCAGGCUAUUCUCAACUUCGCUAAUUAUUUUGUGGGUAGAUCACUCAAAGAAACCCAAACAAUGGAUCCGUUAGAAUCAAAUUUGCACCGUUGAGUAGAAUUUGCACCGUUUAAAAAAAAUGCAGUGUCGUUGUAGAAAAAGCAGUGCCGUUCAGAAAAAAGCAGUGUCGUUUUAGAAAAAGCAGUGCCGUUAAGAAAAAAACAGCGUCGUUCUAGAAAAAGCAGUGCCGUUAAGAUAAAAACAGUGUCGUUAAGGUUUAAGGAAUUCGAAAUUAGGAGGAGUUAUAAAUAGCUGCGAAGAGAACUGUAUUAUUCAUUCCCUUCCAUCUUUUAUUGAUGUUUUCCUUCUGUGAAUGUCCUUUUUUCAUCAUUCUCGGUUUGCAGAGAAUGCUCUUUUUUUUUUUGACUUCCGUUGUGAAUGUUCGUCUUAUUUUACAUAUGUUUUGUUUCCUUUUCUGGGAAUGUCCGUUUUUGUCAAUGUUGUGUGCGCACUGUUCUGUCUACUUGUGUUGUUUUUCUGUACAAUUUAUUUUUUGUGGUGUUAUGUUAUUUUUCUCCCCUUGUAUUUUGUUGCGGACUUUUUCAUAGUGGCAGCAAAAAAGAGGCAGAGAAGAGGAGGUGAUAACACAGGAUGAGAAGAGGCAAAGAAGAGGAGACGACAACACAGGAUGCUAUGUUAAUAUUGUUGUACUGCUUUAGUCAGCGACUAUGAGUCCAUUUUCUGUAAGCAUGUGUUUUCAUCCCUGCUGUGAAUGUCCAUUAGACUUCUUUGUCAAUGUUUUGUUGCAAAAGAUGAGGCAGAGAAGAGGCGGCAACACAGGAAUGAGAAGAGACAGAGAAGAGGAGGCGGCAACACAAAUAUGAGAAAGGCAGAAUUCUUCUUAUUAUUACCAGGUGGGCUACAGGUUGACAGAUUGACACAUCCAGGCAUCCUAAUUGUGUUGCAGACCCUACAUGGUGGUGCCACUGGGGAUCGUGAAGUAAGGUUAAAAUUAUAAAUUUUGUUUUAACUUUUUGGUUUGUUGAUUAUUUUGUUGUCUAGUCAGGGGGCAUCCAAUUCGUAGUCCUUGGGACGGAGUUUGUGUACUGAUAGGGCCUUGACCUUUUAUCUGUGAGAUAUUUUAUUUUAUUUUUCCUGCUAAUUAAUAAGACUGUCACCAAAUUAAUGUGCAUCACAUUGAAGUCAAGAUGGGAUGCCUUAUGUAUUGUUUGAGGGAGUUUUGAAGUUGAUCUAGCUCUUCUAUCUUCAGUUGAUAUGAUCAUAGUUUGCGUAGAACUAAGCUGGUGGUCACAUGAAUGACAAGUGCAGAUGAAAAGUGAAUAUAAGUGUUGAAAAGCAUGUGAAAACAUCAUGUGCAUUUUCACUUACCUGUAAAUUGCCAUAAUUUUGUCACAUGGAGUUUCUAUUCAUGGCAUUCUAUUUUCGUGUGGAAUCCAAGACUGUAAAUAAGAUUGUCUUUGAAGGAAUAUUUAUGUUCUGUCAAAGUCAGAAAAAUUUAUAGGCUGGUUUAGCUUUACUUGUUUCUAUUGUAAAAGAUUUGUCGUAUUGGCAAAGAUUAUACAUUCAUUAAAGAGCUCCAUAAUGAAGAUUAUGUGUAAAGAUGUUUGCUG